rnacentral:rRNA from 1 species
UACGUAGGGUGCAAGCGUUAAUCGGAAUUACUGGGCGUAAAGCGUGCGCAGGCGGUUAUGUAAGACAGUUGUGAAAUCCCCGGGCUCAACCUGGGAACUGCAUCUGUGACUGCCUAGCUAGAGUACGGUAGAGGGGGAUGGAAUUCCGCGUGUAGCAGUGAAAUGCGUAGAUAUGCGGAGGAACACUGAUGGCGAAGGCAAUCCCCUGGACCUGUACUGACGCUCAUGCACGAAAGCGUGGGGAGCAAACAGG